rnacentral:rRNA from 1 species
CCCUUAGAUGUCCUGGGCCGCACGCGUGCUACGCUGACGCAUACAGCGAGCACUUUCCAGUUCCGAGAGGCUACUGGUAAUCAUCAAUAUGCGUCGUGAUGGGGAUAGAUCUUUGGAAUUCUGGAUCUUGAACGAGGAAUGCCUAGUAAUCGCAGGUCAUUAGCCUGCGAUGAUUAAGUCCCUGCCCUUUGUACACACCGCCCGUCGCUACUACCGAUUUCGAGUGGUCAGGUGAAUCUUUCGGACUGUGGGCGCCCUUGAGGUGUUCGCGGAAAGUCAGGUAAAUCUUAUCACUUAGAGGAAGUAAAAGUCGUAACA